rnacentral:lncRNA from 1 species
AUAAUGAAUGUGAUGGACGGUAAACAGAGGCCUUGUUUAGUUCCAAAUUUUUUUGCAAAAUCGACACCGUAGCACUUUCGUUUGUAUUUGACAAAAAUUGUCAAAUCAUGGACUAACUAGACUCAAAAGAUUCGUCUCGUCAAUUUCGACCAAACUGUGCAAUUAGUUUUUAUUUUCAUCUAUAUUUAAUACUCCAUGCAUGCGUCUAAAGAUUCGAUGUGACGGGGAAUCUGAAAAAUUUUGCAAAAUUUUUUUGGAAAAGGCCCUUGUUUAGUUCCAAAUUUUUUUGCAAAAUAUGAAUAGUACCAAUUUCGUUUGUAUUUGACAAAUAUUGUCCAAUUAUAGACUAACUAGGCUUAAAAGAUUCGUCUCGUCAAUUCCGACCAAACUGUGUAAUUAGUUUUUAUUUUCGUCUAUAUUUAAUACUUCAUGCAUACGUUUAAAGAUUCGAUGUGACCGGGAAUCUGAAAAAUUUUGCAAAAUUUUUUGGGAACUAAACAAGGCCCAAAAAAUUUUGCAAAAUAGAAAUUGUAGCACUUUCGUUUGUAUUUGACAAAUAUUGUCCAAUCAUAAACUAACUAGGCUCAAAAGAUUCGUCUCGUCAAUUUCGACCAAACUGUGCAAUUAGUUUUUAUUUUUAUCUAUAUUUAAUACUCUAUGCAUGCGUUUAAAGAUUUGAUGUGACAGAGAAUCUGAAAAAAUUUGUAAAAUUUUCUGGUAAAUUUUUCUGGGAACUAAACAAGGCCUUAAACAGGUUUUGCUACACGAUGUGAAAUUCAUGAGUGGGGCCUUGUUUAGUUCCGAAAAAUUUUGGGAAACGGACACUGUAUCACUUUCGUUUGUAUUUGACAAAUAUUGUCCAAUCGUGGACUAACUAGACUCAAAAGAUUCGUCUCGUCAAUUUCGACCAAACUGUGCAAUUAGUUUUUAUUUUUAUCUAUAUUUAAUACUCCAUGCAUACGUCUAAAGAUUCGAUGUGACGGGGAAUGUGAAAAAUUUUGCAAAAUUUUCUGGGAAGUAAACAAGGCCUGGGCUUUGCUGGCCCCACUUCUGCUUCCCCAUCCGGUCUUCGCUUAAGCUCUCGCAGCAAACAAUGGCGGACGCCGGCGCCGAGCUUGUGCUCCUCCUCUGCCCCCGGGCCCCGCCGCGGCCGUCGCUUCCGCAUAGCUCCGUAUAUCCACUGCGGCCACGGAGCCUGCUCAGAGCUCCCCCCCGCCUCCGCCCUCCCAUCUGUCUCAGGUGCCGCGCGCUCGACGCCAGUAGGCCGGUUGCGGUGGAGAGGGAGCGGGAGCGGGACGAGGAGGACGGGCUCGAGGACGAGGAGGAGUCCUACUUCUCGGUCACCUCGUCGGGGCUCUCGGACGUGGACUACCUCGGGGAGAGCACCAGGGGGGAUUUGAACGUGCGGAGGGAGCGCCUCGAGGCGCUUGGUGAGCUCUGGAUCUCCUUAAUUUUGAGUUCAUGCGGGUAAUCGAUGGUGAUUCGUACAACUGUGAGACAAAAAGCAUGGCCACUAUAUUCUUACGUGGUUAUAAGUAGACGGUCUCUCCUGAUGGCUAAUUGGAAUAUAUGCUGCAACAUCAUCAAAAUUGGAUCAUGAUAACUUUGUAAUUUUUCAUAGCUGCUUUAACUUUAGGUGGGAACGGCAAGUCAACUUUGCAUGGUCCUAUUGAGGAGAUAGCUUGGAAGGAAGCGGGAGAAGCUGAAACAUUGCUUCAUGACUUGGGAAUUGCAGUAAGGUUCUAUCCUUUUAAGCAUUAUCUUGUCCUUGUUGAUGUUCGGUUUGCAUCUUCUGUUUCUAUUCAUGUUUCCUGUGCAGAACUCAUUGAUGUUGUCACCAAUUAAUGUUUAGUUACCAGUAACCUAUACAACUGUGUUAUGUUGUGGAAUUUAGACGAAACUUAAGGAAUAAGGGGUCAGUACUUCCUCUUAUAUAUACCCUUACCAUCAUAAAAUCGUAGUAGCGAUUUUUUUUUACCUCCACUCUGUUACACACUUUUUUCUUUAAAUGUCAUUACCACUAGAAUUCCAUGAGCCAGAGAUGUUUGACCACUCAUGUGCUUAGAAUUUAGUCGAGUAAGAGUCAGUUGACAUGUGUAAGAAUAAAUCACUACUCUUCAUGCCUGGUGUGAACUCUACUAUUGUAGGCAUUUAUAGUUUCUAGCAGGCGAGAAUCAAACUGUUGGCUUGUAGUGGAUGCAGUCAGUCAUCACAAUCCCUGACAGUAAAUUGUGGCAAUGGUCUCACAAUCUCAUGGUCAGCCUACACGACCUUUAUUUUUAUCGAAAAACUAAUGUGGCAGUUGAGCUUUAUGAUUUUUGACCAUCAAGUAAUGGCAAAAAGAGAUGGUUAUCGAAAACCUGUGAAGCAUCAACAGCCCUUUUUUCUUCCUGGCAGAAGCGAAUGAGGGUUCUCUUAUUGGUGAAAGGAAAAUUUUCUCUUGCAUUGACCUUUCAGUUUUCAAAGUCGUUAGAUGUAUCCAUUGCUGUAAGAAAAGGGCACUAAUGUAAUCACAAGCAAAAAAAUCAAGGGUGUGUGUUGUAAGGGUUAUGGACCCUCUUUCUUCUUAAUACAAAGAUACACUGCUCUCCUGCGUGUUCGAGAAAAAAAAGAUUUACUAUAAAAUACAUCCCAAGUUGGGUGUGUAAUUGUAAGGGUUAUGGACCAUUUCUUCUUAAUACAAAGAUACACAGCUCUCCUGCGUGUUUGAGAAAAAAAAGAUUUACUACAAAAUGCAUCCCAAGAUAACUGUUGUCAAAUGGUUUGAUAAUUUUUUUGCAUGAUGGUUCUUGACAAGGCGUUCCCUUUUUUAUGAUUAAGAUACAAGAGACAUGCCUUUCUAGCAACAAAAGCUCCAACAUUCAGUGGAAUAUAACUUCAGUGAAUACAUUGACCAUGGAAAUGCUAACACAUUCCAAGGAAAUGAGGAAUAGACAAAAAGCAUUGAUUCUUUUGAAAGACAAGCUAUAAUCAAACUCGCUAAUACUAUUUUCAUUGUAAAUCAGAAUUAAUUUUGCAGUUAUAUUCUAUCUGCUAACAUUCUAGCACUUUGUUCUUGAACUUCCAUGUUUGGUUGCCCCUUUGCCAAUCAUAUCUUGUUUGAGUAUUAUCAUGAUGAGAAAACCAGUCAGACUUCCGAAAACAGUACUAACAUCAAUUUGCUAAAAAUGCAGGCCCCAUUUUCAGUAAGACACUCUUCUCGCGGAAUUUUCUGCACCAGGACACUAAAUCUUCGAUCUAUCAGUGUGGUUGGCUAUGAUAUGGAUUAUACAUUAAUUCAUUACAAUGUGAUGGUACUUCAUGGCCCAUUUUCUUGAUUCGCCUAUAAACUUUUCUGAUACCAGGAGUUGCACUUUUAGAAAACUCUGUAAUUAUGUUGAGCUGAUUUGACUGGUAACAACAAAGGAUAGCGUAUGAGUGAUAUAAAUUUUCAAGUGCCAAUUAAAGUUGUUUUUCCUUUAAUUUUUUCUUCAUAAAGUUCAUGUCAUGGGUUAGAUGCUGUGAGUUUUCAAUGUGUUUGUAAUGUAGAUACUUUUAGAUAUAAAUAUUUCCUCCAAUCCCUAUAUUCCCAUUUGUACACUGACUUAAUUUCUAUGUAAAUAUAUGCGGUGUCAAAUUCAAAUAUGAAGGGUUAUAUAUUGUAGAAGUAUUUUUUCAUGAUGAAUCUACUAACAUCAGUCUUAUGUUGUCAAUGUAUAUGAAUUUUAGCUAUUGAUGGUCAAAGGGUAAAAUAAUAGUUUGACAUAGGAUAAAACCUAGGGCUUAUAUUUGGGUUGGAGCUAGUAUAAUUUUGCUCAAUGCAAAUAUUAUGGUAAUGACAUAACAUUUCUGCAGGCCUGGGAAGGACGUGCAUAUGACUAUGGGAUGGACAACCUCAAGAGCAUGGGUUUCCCAGUAGAUGACCUUAAAUUUGACCCUGAGCUGGUAGUGCCUGCUGCGCACUUCUUUUAUAAUACCUUGAAGCACACACAUCACCUCUAGUGAUGCAAUUGCUGUGUCACAGGUCAUAAGAGGUCUUAUUAUUGAUAAAGAGAAGGGAAACUUGGUUAAAGCUGAUCGAUUUGGCUACGUUAAGAGGGCCAUGCAUGGUACUCAGAUGCUUUCCACUCGUGCUGUGAGGUAUAGGUAACACAUUUUGUCAAAGUUUCUGGGCUUCAGAGAUGAGAACUCUAAUUCAUGUCUUUGAAUAGUGAAAUAUAUGGAAGAGAAUUGGUGGACCUGCGGAAAGAAAGUCGAUGGGAGUUUCUUAACACCCUUUUCUCUGUUUCAGAAGCUGUCAUGUUCAUGCAGGUUUCCUUACCUCUUCCUUUUAUAUGAUAUAGUCAUUCCAGUGUUUAUGUGAUGUGAUGUCACUUGACAUCUCAACUAUUUAAGUCCAUGUCCAUCUUUCUCAUUAGCGUACCCAGGGAGCUAAUGGUUUCUCUGUUGAUUUCCAAGUGACUGAGUUAUAUUUUCCAGAAGCUAAGUAUUUGUCUAGAUUAGCCAAAGCAUAAAGACUUGGCGAGAGUUGCAGAAAUGGUUCAAGUUCAGAUGAGAUACUAUGCUAAGCAAGCCAGCUGAAAUAUUUUUUGCUAGUAGUAUGAUGUUCUCUGCUCUUUCAUCCUUGAAUAACCGUGCCUUUGCCUUCUAAGGACUUGGAGUUUGGCCAUAUUUUACCUCACUGAUUUGGAAAUUAAUUUAAUAUGUAGAUGUAAGGGUAGACAUGUCUCUUGAUGAUCUAACAACCAGAUUAUGUUAUGAUCCUUCUGUUUGUUAGUAGUGGGGUUUGUACUUUGUAGUAGCAUCAAACAGAAGUUGGUAAUACAUUGGCAUUUGAUUUGUCCUCGGCAGAAUAAAUCACAAUUUGGAGCCCAUCAAAGAAACAUGAUGUGUGCUCAGAAAUCUGAAUGUAUUUAUUCCAUAUCAAUACACAUCAACACACAUCAACACAAUCAAUCCUGUUUUGAUUCAUCCCGGGAGUAGUUGUAGUGUUUUUCAAAUGAUAUAUAGACAUUCUGAAUUUGCAUGCGAUCUCUCACACUAAACAUUUCUCAAGUCUGAACUGAACCUGGAUAUUGCAAUUUUCUUCAGAUGGUCGACAAGUUAGAUCAGGGAUUGGUGCCAGCUGAACUUGGGCCAUUGGAUUACAAAGGACUGUACAAUGUAAUGAGCACUGCUGUUUCCUUUUCAUCUCUUUGAAGGGAUUACAUCAGCGUAGAGACCUGCUAUUACUAUAUUAUAUUAAAAAUAAAGUAAAAGAAUUAGUCUAUACAGAAACAGAAAGAGAUAAUGUCUCUUCUGACUUGUGGAACUUUUGUCCUUGUCCACUUUUGCUAUGUAAUAAACGAAGUUUGGUGUACGUUUUUUUUUCCAGGCUGUUUCCAAAGCACUUUUUCGAGCACAUGUAGAAGGCCAACUUAAGGUACUCUUCCGUUAAUCAUAAUAUGAUUAUGAUAUAUGACUAUUAUUUUUUUUUCUGAAAACUUCUUUAGCUGGUUGAAAUGUAGAGAGAAAUAAUGGCUGAGCCUGAGCGGUUUGUAGAGCCUGAUCCAGAACUUCCUUUAGCUCUUCUUGAUCAAAAGGAGGUUAGCACAGUUCCACCUUAUGGUGCCAUAUGAUCAAUUCAAAGUAAUAGAACCAUUGUACUGAUAUGCUGCCUUUUCAAUCUAUCAGGCUGGAAAAAAGUUGCUUCUCAUUACUAAUUCAGAUUUCCAUUAUACAAACAAAAUGAUGAAUCAUGCAUUCAAUCGCUUUCUUCCUAAUGAUGUGGGAUGGAGAGAUCUUUUUGAAAUGGUAAGUUUUAUCUCUCUCCCUUAUACCAGCUUUGUAGAAGUGACUGUUUAACAGUCAUUGCUUACAACAUACUGGAAACUUUAUUAAUAUCCAUUGAUUCCUUCUUACUAUAGGUUAUAGUCUCCGCAAGGAAGCCAGAGUUUUUCCAGCUUUCACAUCCAUUAUAUGAGGUUGUAACAGAUGAUGGGCUGAUGCGCCCCUGUUUUAAAGUAAAGUCAGGUCAAAUUCUUCACGCCAUUACUGUUGUGAACCAGUAACUGAUAGAACCUCCAAUAAUUCUUUUUCUGUCACUGUGAAGGGACAUGUUUCGUUUCAAACUGCGAAUAUGCAUUAUGCUCUAGCAUCAUGUUCAUUUUUCUUCAAAACUCAAUGAAUCGAAGCCAAAAAAAGAACUUAAGGAGGGGGAGGGGGGGCACUCUUUCAUGGUAGCUUCCCUAUCUAAGAUGAUUUAUAGUUGCAACAUCAUAUUGUUUCGGAACAAAUCCAUUUUUGGCCUCCUCAACUCUUAAGUUUGUCUAUUUUUAACCCCAAACUACAAAACUAGUAACUUUGGCAUCUCAACUUUGAAUGUUGUUCAGUUUUUACCCCUCGGUCUGGUUUUGGUGGUUUUCAAAUAGCUUGGGCCCACCUGUCAUAUGCUCCAUCUCUCCCUCCCCACCUCCCUCUCUCCCAACGCCGCUUCCCAUAGCUAUAUCCAGAGUGCUCGCUUUUGCCCCGCUGCAGUCACCUCUGCUGUGUGCGGACCACCCCGCCGCCUUGUACAUGUGUGCUGCCGCAGACUGUCCCUUGCUCGUCACCAGAGAGAUGGAGAGACAGAGGAGGUGUGCCAUGGCCGAACUCGAUGCAGCCCCUGGGUGGACAAGAGAGAGAAAGGGCACCCCCAUGCCAUGGAGCACCAUCGGCCGUGGGGACAGCUGUGAGGGCAAUCUUGCUGUGCACUGGAUGAGGGAAGGAGGAGGCUGCGAUGGAGGACUGGUGGAGAAGAUAAAGAGGAGGUGGACAUGCUCUGAGAGCAUGUCUCCUUUGGUACGGUUGGACGUGGUGCUGUGGACGGCGGAGUGGGAGAGAGGCGGCAGUGGCAUAUAGACAGAGGAGGGAAGGAGAUGGGGACAGCGGUGGUGAGAAAAGGAGGGGGGGGGGGGAGAAAGAUGGAUGGAGUACCUUACAUGUGGGCCCAUGCUGGGCCCGAGUUACUGGAAAACCACCAAAACUAGGCUGAGGUGCCAAAGUUGAACGGUAUUGGUAGUUGAGGUGCCAAGAUUACCUGGUUUUGCAGGUAGGGUAAAAAUUAGACAAACUCAAGUUGAGGGGCGAAAAAGUAUACUUGUUCCUUUUUUUAGCGGAAGUUGUAACAUCAUUGCUUAUCGACAGCAGAACCACAUGUUGGUCUUUGUUGUGCAGAAGUUUGGAUGUUCUGAUGUGCAAGCACCAUGUUGUUUUCCCAUUUUGGUGCUUGGAUCUUGUCUUUCUUUAGUGCAGAUAUGAUUUUUUUUUCAUUUUUAUUCUGAAAUGGAGAAGGGAGAGUUUGGAUUGGGGAAUAAAACAAGAGCUACUCCAACUCUUAUGCGUAAUUUCUUAUGUCACUAGACUAGAUCCUGCAACCUUAGUUUCUUUCUUCGAUAUGCUCUUCUCUAUUAUCCACUGCCAGUUUUGUGACUGACUUGCUACCCCUUUUAUGAAAUCGGUAUUUAGGUGGCUUAUAUUCUGGUGGUAGUGCUCAGAUGGUUGAGAAAUCACUAGACAUUCAUGGGGAUGAGAUAUUAUAUGUUGGGGACCAUAUUUACACAGAUGUAAGCCAGUCAAAAGUUCAUUUACGAUGGAGGACAGCAUUAAUCUGCAGAGAACUAGAAGAUGAGGUUAGUUUGCUCACCUUUUCUGACCAAUUAAAAAAAAUAAUGACAAUGUGUAGAGCAUUAGGUAUUACAGAUUUACAGUACCAUUUUAAUUUCUGGUUAGCAGGAUGAAGCUUUCUUUUGAACAUUUAUUGAUUCUGUCUGCGGUAUUUUUCCAUCUCACAUUGCAUUUCCUAUUUCUUAAAGGAAUUUUUGAAAAAAAAACUUCUUUGAUUCAUUUCAUUUGAGUAACGGUAUCAGGACUCUUAGAUUUGCCUUGCCUUGUACUCCCUCCAUUCCAAAUGAUAAGUCAUUCCUUGCUGCUUGGGAGCCGUGGAAGCAUCAUAACAAUUGCAUUUUUAACAAUGCCACUCCUAUGAUAUGGUGGUCAGGACGGUGAUUGAAGUAACUGUCCGGUGUGCUGCUGGGACUAGGGAUCUUGGGAACUUGGUCAUGGGGCUAAUAUAUCCUCCCUCCCUGGUUCUAACUGUGUGCUGUGGCCAUCUUUCUGUUGUCCAUGGUGCGUUUAUUUUACAUUCCGCCAUUGCGAACUUGUGGUGGCCUUUGAGGUUAGGGCAUCAUCUUUGAGUGUUUUUUCUUUAUACCUUUUUUUCCUAUUUAAUGAAAUGGCAAAGACCAGGAAUGACAGAGCACAUUGUUGCCAUAGACCUGAGGUGUUUCAGGAAGGUUCAUUCAAAUUGUUUUUCUUCCACAUGGUAACAUAUACCAUUACAUGGGGAAACCAAACAAUCAAUGGGAUCGCCCAUUCCAUCGCUAAUUGCAGUGUGAUCUGUUAACAUUUACAUCUAUGUUAUCACUGCAUCAACCAAACAACACCUUAAUUCCAAUAUGCUGGUGAUACACUUAUACUGACCAUUAUCAAGUAUAUGCAUCUGUUGAUUCUGAAUUAAUGUGGAAGCAAACCUAGAUAGGCCACAAUUUGUUAUGCUGUCGGUACUAUGUAGCCAAUCGAGUUGUAGUCUCUUGUUGACCAAUAUCCUCUUCUGUGUUUGCAGUUUGAUGCACUGGUCAAAAGCUAUGAUCAGAAAGAAAAGCUUGUUACACUUAUACAACAAAAAGAAAAUGUGGGGGAUCUUUUUAACCAGCUUCGCCUGGCUCUGCAGAGGCGCUCUAAUUCACGUCCUGCACAGGUACUAGAGUGAAGCCUGACGCUUUAGUGAGCUUCAGCAUGAUGAAUGUCCUUCUCAGAUGUUUGAAACUUUAACAUUUGUAUUACUUUCAGCAGUGCACUGCUGCCAUGUAUGAAUUGUUAUACAUCUUAACCAAAAAUUAAGAUAAACUGGUGAUUUUGGCUUAGUUUCUAGGACUCAGGGAUUUUGUAAAGUUCUCAAGAUGCUUGCACUGAUAUACAUGUUUUUUUCAGACGCUUGCUGCAACUUGUAUGGAUGAACAGGAACUUACGGAAAGUAUGCAAAAGUUGCUCAUUGUUAUGCAAAGAUUAGAUGAAAAGAUUGGAAAAUGCUAGAAGCAGAUGGAGAACAUUUCAAUAAAAGGUACAUCAAUCACUAUUAAGAUGUAAAUUCUUAAUCUUGUAGCGAGUUUGGGAAAUCCUUCAAAUCUGGGUGUUCAGAUCUAUUAUCCCAUAUAUUUCUUACAUAAAUAACUGCUUUCAAACAUCAUUGCACCUAUUUCUGCUUCUGAUUUCCAGUUUGUAUGAUUUUAAUUUCCAUGUAUGUAAUCAAUUUAUCGGUCUAAAUUUCUUGGUAUUUAUCUCUUUAUAAUUGUUAGAAAAGUAAGCUAAGCAAGUAUGUUUUUCUUUUUCCUCUUAAGAUGGGGCUGGUUGUCACGUGCUGGCCUAUGGGAUAAGAGUCAUCUGACCAGGCAAAUUGAAAAGUGAGUGGCUAUAAUUUUUGACAGCAAGGAAAAAUGUUGUAUGGACUCCAAACUGAAUGCAACUAAUUUUGCAUUUUCUGUAGAUAUGCUGAUAUAUACACAUCAAGGGUUUCAAAUUUUCUACACUAUACUCCAUUCAUGUAUUUCCAAUCUCAAGAACAGGUAAAUACACAGCUCCAUACUCGCUGCUGCGCUUUACCUUUGGCUUUUUGUUUGAUACGGCGUGGGCGAUGAAGAGUACGCAGGGGAGAGUGGAGAAGGUGCUGGGACUGAGAGUUGGAGCGCAAGGGAUAGCGAGGCAAAGGGGCAGCGGGUUCGUCGUCGGUGGCCACGGCUGAAUCGCCAGUGGACACCGUCGAAGGGGAAAACCCGCCCACUCUUUGGGAGGUUCUAUUUCCUUCGAUGCCUUUCUUACAUCCACUCAAUGGCCCUUAUAGAAGGUGAGCCAAACACACACACGCACACACACCAACAGAGGACUGCAUGCUGCUGUCUAAAAAUAGCCAAGUACUCCUAGCCAUUGCAUGGGAGACUUAUUCUCUUCUAAACCCGACCGUUUCCUCAGCCACUACUGCUGUUGGCUGUGAUCCUCCUAGCCCGGCGCCUGUAUUGCCUACCCACAAAGGAGUCUACAACAUUUCCCUCCUCCCCAACAAACAGCUCGUCCACGAGCUGAAACGCUGGGUAGCGCUCCUUGAAGUCUGUGAUCGGCUCCCAAGUUGCAUCAGCAGCAGUGCAGCCUUCCCACUGCACCAGCAGCUCCCAGUGGCCUCGGUUCAGACGAGCGCGAACCACCUGAGACGGAGUAGGCACCACACGACCCCGAAGAAUGGCCGGUAAUGGCAUGAUUGAAGCAGGUGGGUCACCCUCAUACUUCUUCAGUAAGGCGACAUGGAAGACAUUAUGUAUGCGUGCCUUCGGUGGUAGUUGCAGACGAUAAGCGACCGCACCAAGCCGCUCGAUGACCUGAUAGGGCCCAAAGUAGCGUGGCCCAAGCUUCGAGGGUGAGGCAGCCGUGAUGCCCACCGCUGUGCGCUGCUGCAGGCGUAGCAGCACCCAGUCACCAACAGCAAACUCCACAUGGCGACGUUUCUUGUUCUGCUGCUCCCUCAUGGUGUCUUGAGCCAAGAUGAGACGCUCCCGAAUCUCAGCCAGGAAGACAUCACGAUCGCGGAGCUGACGAUCAACAGCAGCCACACGGACCGCGCCUGGUGUGUAGGACAUCAGAGCCGGAGGCGGUCUGCCAUAGACAACCUCAAAUGGUGUAGUCCGAAGGGCUGAUUGGUGUGAAGUGUUGAAGCAAAACUCUGCCCAAGGAAGCCACUGCAGCCAUGUACGGGGACGGUCUCCAGCAAGGCACCGCAGGUACAUGACGAUGAUGCGGUUAGUGACCUCAGACUGGCCGUCUGUCUGUAGGUGGAAAGCAGAACUGCGCAGGAGCUUGACGCCGGCAAGCUUGAAUAAUUCCUCCCAAAAGUGGCUGGUAAAGACCGGGUCACGAUCGCUCACAAUCGAGCACGGGAAGCCAUAAAGCCGAACAAUGUUGUCGAAGAAAGCCCGGGCCACAGACUGUGCGGAGUAGGGGUGGCCGUGGCUCAAGGCCACAAAGUGAGCCAUCUUGGAGAAGCGAUCGACGAUUGUCAGGAUGACUGACUUCCCGCCAACCCGUGGAAAGCCCUCCACAAAAUCCAUGGCGAUGUCACUCUAGACAUGGGUUGGCACAGGCAAGGGCUGGAGAAGGCCUGCCGGGUGGAGAUGUUCAGUCUUGUUGUGCUGACAGACUGCGCAGCCCCGCACGAAGUCGCGUACAAGGCGAUGGAGGCGGCUGCUGUAGAAGGAAGCUCGUAGCCGGUGGAGAGUCUUCUGGGUACCUUCAUGGCCGGCCUCAUGAGCAUCACGGAGUAGCUGUGGCCACAAGACUGAGCCCUCCGGAACGAAGACACGGCCGUUGUAGAGCAGCAAGCCAUCGACCAACUGCCAACCGUCUGGUGCCGUGCCUGCAGCGAGCUGUUGGCGAAGGUCCUGGGCUGCUGCAUCGUUCUGCAGCUCAGCACGCAGGGUGUCAUAGUCAGUGAAGAGGGGCCCGGUCAGAGCCAAGACCGCCACCUCCUCAUCACGGCGGGACUGCGCGUCGGCGACGGUGUUCAGCUUCCCGGCGCGGUAUUCAACCGUGAGGUCGUACCCGAACAGCUUGGACACCCACGUGUGCUGAGGGAUAGUUGUCAGGUGCUGGUCGAGGAGAAACUUGAGACUCCAGUGGUCGGUCCGGACGGUGAACGCCCGACCCCAGAGAUAAGGCCGCCAAUGACGAACAGCCUUGACUAGCCUAAUGAGCUCGCGCUCAUACGCCGACAGCUUGGCGUGGUGGGGAGCAACCGGUUGGCUGAAGAAUGCAAUAGCACCAUCUCCUUGGUGCAGCACAGCGCCAAACCCAGCGCCGGACGCAUCGCAGUCCACCACAAACCGCUUGGUGAAGUCCGGGAGCUGAAGGAGAGGCGCGGUGAUCAGCGCCUUCUUGAGGGCGAUGAAAGCCUCCUCGGCGUCCGUUGUCCAGGUGAAGGCCUCCCGCUUGAGGAGAGCAGUCAGCGGUGCGGCCACACCGCCGUACCCGGCGAUGAACUUCCGGUAAUAUCCGGUGAGGCCGAGGAACCCGCGCAGCGCCCGGACUGAGUGCGGUUUUGGCCAGGCCUCCACCGCAGCGACCUUGUCAGCAUCCAUGCCGACCCCCUCGGCGGUUAUGAUGUGACCGAGGUAGGCCACAGGAGGCUCGCCGAAGGAACAUUUGGAUCGCUUGGCGAAGAGACGGUGGUCGCGCAUCUGCUGUAGCACAACCUUGACAUGUUGUAAGUGUUCAGCCCACGAGUGGCUGUAGAUGAGAAUAUCAUCAAAGAAUACAAGCACAAAGUGGCGAAUAUAUGGCUUCAAGAUGUCGUUCAUUAGUGCUUGAAAGGUGGCAGGCGCGUUGGUGAGGCCGAAUGGCAUGACAAGGAACUCAAAAUGCCCACGGUGCGUCCGGAAAGCUGUCUUGGCGACGUCGUCCGGAUGCAUGCGCACCUGGUGGUACCCGCUGCGUAAGUCGAUCUUGGUGAAGAAGCGGGCACCUUUCAGCUCGUCCAGGAGCUCGUCCACCACCGGGAUCGGGAAUUUAUCCUUGACAGUGGCGUCGUUGAGGGCGCGGUAGUCGACGCAGAAGCGCCAACUGUCGUCGUGCUUGCGGACAGGAGCACCGGGGAGGAAAAUGGUGAGGUCGACUCCCUGAUGAUCCCUUGGCCAAGCAUGUCCUCGCACUGCCGCUCGAUUUCAUCCUUAAGGAGCUGCGGGUAACGGUACGGGCGCACCGCCACAGGUGGCGUGUUCGGCAGGAGGUGAAUCUUGUGGUCGUGGCGGCGUGGUGGUGGCAGACCACGGGGUUCCUCGAAGAUGUCGUGGUACGACUGUAGCAGUUCCUCCAGUACAGUACGGGGGUCGGCAAUGGCACGAGCGGCCAAACCCCGGUUGUUCACGCCGGUCCAGUGGUGGGAGCGGCCGUUGUACUAGAAGGACAUCGCCUGGGCGGCGAAGUCCCAAACGAUGGGCCCCAGCGUCCGGAGCCACCGGACGCCAAGGACCAGGUCGAAGCCGCCCAAGUCGAGCGCGAAACAGUCGAUGGAGAAAGCCUCGCGGGCAAUGGUGACCGGAGUAGCAAGGCAGACGCCCGGGCUGCGCACCCGGUCGCCGUUGGCCACCAUGACGUUGAGGCCAGCACGCGGCGUGACGAUGAGGCCCAGGCGUUGUGCGAGCGUGGAGUGGAUGAACGUGUGGGUGGAACCAGUGUCCACCAACGCCCGCAGUUGUACGCCAGCCACCGUGACCUGCAGCAGCAUAGCAUCAGCGGCGUUGAGGCCGGUCAGCGCGUGGAGGGAGAUCUCCACGUCGUUGAUCUCGGCGAGGGGGUCGUCCUCGUCAUCCGCCAAGUCCAUGAGGAAGACGCCCUUAGCGGCGCACUUGUGGUCCUUGGUGUACGGCUCCGGGCAAAAGUAGCAUUGCCCGUUCUAGCGCUUCUCCUGCAUCUCUGCCGGUGUGAGGCGGCGGAAGCGCGGCCGCGGGCCCUCCGUCCUGCCACCCUGCGGCGUGGCACCGGGGGCAGCAGUAGUGGUGGCAGAGGCAAUGGCGCGGCGGCCAGAGCCCUUCGGCGUCGUUGCACUGUUGACAGUCGAGGCCUCCGCAUUGCGCUGCUCGAACGCCAGCGCAAGGCUCAUGGCCUGCUGGAGGUUGGCGGGGUGCUGCAUCUCGACGUCGUGGGCCAGCGGCUGUCCCAAGCCGCCGGUGUACAUGUCGAUCACCGUCCGCGGGGCGAGGUUGUCGCAGCGUGCGAGUAGGGCAUGGAAGCUCCGCGAGUAGUCCUCCACGGAUCCCGUGCGGACCAAGUCCUUGAUCUCCGCAAUCGAGUUAGUGCGGAUCGGUGGCCCGAAGCGGAGGUUGAUGAAGUCGACGAAACGUGGCCACGGAACCAUGCCGAAGUCACGUUCCAUCUGGUAGUACCAUUCCGCCGCGGUGCCGUCGAGGUACAGGGAAGCCAUCCACACCUUCUCAUCCUCUGGAACACGAUGACCGCGAAAAAAACUCACAUUUGUUCAGCCAUGUCAAGGGAUCUGCCUCACCGUUCAAGGUCGGGAAGGGAAUUUUGGGUGGCCGGUGUGGUUCGCGGUGACGUUCAAAGACAUGGCCGCCACCGUGGUCGUAGUCGCGGUUGCCACGCUCGUGUUCGCGCCCUCCUCGAUCGUAGUCGUGGCUCAUGCGGCCGAAGGUGUGGCCCGCACGGUCGAAGUCGCGCCCGCCGCGGUCGAAGUCGCGCCCGCCACGGUCGAAGCGGUCGAAGUCGCGCCCGCCGCGGUUGUAGCGGUCGAAGUCGCGCCCGCGACGUUCGCGCCCGCCGCGAAUGUAGAAGUCGCGAUCGUAGCCUCCGUAGUCGCGACGGUCGUAGUGGUCCCGCUCGCGUGAGGGCCCGCGACCGGAGCCAUCGUGUUCAUGAAUCACGCGGUCGCGGAACGCUGCCCAGGCGCGAUCGCGCUCUGAGCCGCGCGUAUCCUCCUCCUCGCCGACGUCGCUGACGUCGUCGCCAACAUGAUCAUCGGUCCCGUCGGUGCCCUUGCCUGCGUCGGGCUUGUCGGACUCGAUGCGCGCCAUCCGCCGGUCGUGGGAGUUGAGGCGGUUGGUGAUGGUGGUAAGCUGGGCGAACAUGCGAUCGAAUUUCUUAUCCAGCCUUGCCUCCAAGGCCGCAGGAUCGAAGGGGGUGCCGGACAUGGUUGUCGAUGCACCCGGAAAGGGCUCCGAUGCCAAAUUGAUACGGCGUGGGCGAUGAGUACGCAGGGGAGAGUGGAGAAGGUGCUGGGACUGAGAGUUGGAGCGCAAGGGAUAGCGAGGCAAAGGGGCAGCGGGUUCGUCGUCGGUGGCCACGGCUGAAUCGCCUGUGGACACCGUCGAAGGGGAAAACCCGCCCACUCGUUGGGAGGUUCUAUUUCCUUCGAUGCCUUUCUUACAUCCACUCAAUGGCCCUUAUAGAAGGUGAGCCAAACACACACACACACGCACAUACAGCAACAGAGGACUGCAUGCUGCUGUCUAAAAAUAGCCAAGUACUCCUAGCCAUUGCAUGGGAGACUUAUUCUCUUCUAAACCCGACCGUUUCCUCAGCCACUACUGCUGUUGGCUGUGAUCCUCCUAGCCCGGCGCCUGUAUUGCCUACCCACAAAGGAGUCUACAACAUUGCUAUUGUCGUGUUCAUUGGUUUAGAUUCAAGAAUACCAAUCUUCUUUACAAUGACUGAAGACUAAUUAGAGCAAUAGAAGAUGCUGCUUGCUGCUUAGAGCUUGUGAAAAGAAUACAAGACGCUAUGCUGGUAGGACGAAUAUUGUGGCCAUAUUUUUCCAUUGGGGUGGUGACUUUACAGUCAUGAAUCAUCCAAGUAGAAGAGAACAAGAAGAAUAAAUGAUGGAGAGUGAGCAAGUAGGGUGUUCUGACUAAGCUACUAAGACAUGCUAUGCGGGUAGGAGGAAUAUUGUGGCCAUAUUUUUCAUUAGGGUGGUGACCUUACAGUUAUCAAUCAUCCAAGUAGAGGUAGAAGAAAAGGGAGUGAUGCAAGCAUAUACAUAAUAAGAGCAAGAAGAGUAAAUGAUGGAGAGCGAGCAAGGAAAACGGUGAUGGAGAGCAAGCAAGGAUCGGUGAUGGAGAGUGAGCAAGGAGGGUGUUCUGACUAAACUACUAGCCUACUAGCCACUAGAAAAGUGCACUAUUAAGUUGAAAUAGUAUACCUACACUACAUCAAUAUGAAGUGUAGUAUUUUUUUGCGACAUAUGAAGUAUAAUAAUUUGUUUGUGUUUUAUUUGAAUUUGAAAUCAACAUAAAUGAGCAUUGAUCAUAUAUAUUAUUGCAAACUCAUUAUCGCUAUUUUUGUUUUACUAUUAAUUUUUUAUUCUUGAAAAAUGUCUCAGACACUUGCACAUGAUGCCCAUUCCUAUUCUGGGGGAAAGGCCAUCAAUGUUCAUUGAGCGUCCGUUCAAGUCACAAUGUGGAGGUUAGGCAGGGAAGAGAGAACGUGAUCAUUGUGAUUAUGGCUGCGAUGGCUAGACAGUAACAAUUGUCACAUUUUGAACAAAUUAAUCAAUACAUCUUGUACGAGUGUAUGGAUGUAUAAGCAAAUAUUUAAUUAUAGCAUGCUGAAUGAUUGGUCCGAUAGUCAGUUUGUUUGUCGUGGCCAGCCAGAAGAGUUUCAUUUGGGGAGGCACAGUGACCUGUUUUGGUGUACCUGCUGCUAUUUGUACUGUAUAUGUAAAGUGUGAAGGUAUGACAAGGUAAAGAACUAAGAGUGAUAAAUCACGCCAUUUGAUGCUGCGCAAGGCGAGAUUUUGUCUUUUAGGGUGAGUUUGGUUUGGGCAAAGUUAGAUGGACUUUGACCAUCCAUAGAUUCAGGAUGAGCUCAUCAAUACUUCAUGUUUGGCUAGAUGGAUAAGCUAAGCUAUUUUUUUUGUUUGGUUAGAUAGAUAAGAUGUGAAUAGUUGACUAAUUAUUUUUAUUAUUAUAACUAUUACUAAGUAUACACUACUCUUUCUAGCUUUUCUAUGUACAUAGCAUUAGCUAUGUGUCUAGAUAUGAUGUAUGUAUAGAUGCAUAAAAGCUAUGGAGCCUAAAAAAGGUAGAAUGACUUAUAAUUUAGAAUGGAUUAAAGAGAGUAAAAUAUGUCAAUUAGCACUACUAUUAUCUUAAUUGGCACACAAAAUAUAUGAUAGUCACCGUAUUAACACUUAUCAAAACUAAUCUUAUCAUUAAAAUUACUAAGUAAUAAUAUAACAUACUGAUAUAUUAAUUUAUUUACUUAAUGACAAAGAAUACAUGGAUGAGCUCGUCCAUUGGAAACUGGGAAGCGCUAUGUGACAACUCUACCAAGGGAAUAAACGGUAAUCUUUACUUAUUGAACUGAUGUAGCAUCUCUCUCUUUUGGUGUGCAAGGAGUUGAUUUAGAAACUUUUGAUUUUGAAAUGCCUAUUGACCAAGAACUGAUUCUGAGUAUCUAGCCCUCCUCAAUUGCAGUUAAAUUAUUUACUUCCUCCGUUUCAAAUUAUAAGAUGUUUUGACUUUUCAAGAUAUGUCGCUUUUAUCAUGAAUCUAGACAUAUUGUAUAUCUAAGUGUAUAGCUAAAAUUAUGAAUCUAGAAAAGUAAAAUGUUUUAUAAUUUAAAAUAGAGUACAUAAGGAUCAAAUAUCAAAUCGACGAGUCUUAUUCUAAUGGACAUGCAAAGUUUUAAUUCAGAGCAAUUUUUGAGUAAACCACACAUUUAGUCCAUAGUUAUGUUCAUAAUAAGUUAAUUAGAAAAAAAUACAAGUUCAUUUGAAUAAUAACAUCAGCGGUCAGAAAUUUCUUUUUCGUUACCCUCGCAUGGUAAUGAAUUUUGAGAGGACAGUGGAAGAAAAAAACUAAGAAAUCAGAAUCUAAAUUUGAGGCAAGGGAGAAAAUAGCAAGAAGACAACUGCGCACACUUAUGUGUAUGCAAACAAGUGUAUACACUAUAUUUAUUUAUUAAUAUCAAAAAACUUAGUAUAGAGUUAUUUGUGUUGUUUAGCAAUAUUACUACGCACGGCAUUUGCUUCAAUCUACGAACUAUUAGAAGCUUUUGCUUGGAGUCGAUGACAUCCAUUGGAUCUUAGAUGGAGGAUGGAGAUUGAAUCUGGCUCCUAGCUGGUUGAGGCUUGACUCGAAAGGAGCUCAACGGCGGGGGUUGUUUAUCAGAUAUUUUCGAAUGCACAUCUCACUUUUUGAGUAAUUAAAUUUUAAGCUUAACAAGAUUUAUAAAAGUAUUUUCAAUAUUUAUAAAAUCUAAAUAUGUUCAUACAGAAUGUAUUAUACUAUAAUCUAAUAUUAUUUAUUGCUCAUCAUAAAUACUUGCACUUCUUAUACAUUUAGUUGGAUUUAAAAAUGUUUGAUUUCUUCAAAAGCGAUGAGAUAUGCUUUUUCUUGAGACUGAGGAAGUAAGCUUGGUUAAUUGAGAUGCAAGUGGACUAAUAUGUGAACCCACAUAUAGGCUUAGGCCUUGUUUAGUUCCGAAAAGUGAAAAGAUUUCGGUACUGUAGCACUUUCGUUUGUUUGUGACAAAUAUUAUCCAAUUAUGGACUAACUAGGAUCAAAAGAUUCGUCUCGUGAUUUACAGCUAAACUGUGUAAUUAGUUUUUGUUUUCGUCUAUAUUUAAUGUUUCAUGCAUGUGCCACAAGAUUCGAUGUGACGGGAAAUCUUGAAAACUUUUUGGUUUUCAGGGUGAACUAAAUAGUUCCAAAAAAAAAUUCAAAAUGGACAUCGUAGCACUUUCGUUUGCAUUUGACAAAUAUUAUUCAAUUAUGGGCUAAUUAAGCUCAAAAGAUUCAUCUCGCAAAUUACAGGUAAAUUGUGUAAUUAGUUAUUUUUUAAUCUAUAUUUAAUGCUUCAUGCAUGUGCCGCAAGAUUCGAUGUGACGAGGAAUCUGAAGAAUUUUGCAAUUUUUUUUAGAACUAAACAAGGCCUUAAUUUUGUGAAUUGCCACACAUACAUAUACUUACAAACAUCAAAACACGCACUAAACAUCAUUCAACUUAAAAAAAACAUCGUCUAAGAAACAUUGUCCAAGAGCAUAUUAGGCAUUUCUUAGAAAAUCUCCUGUUUUUAGAGAUGGAGCUAGGUUGUAUGCUAAGGUCUUGUUUAGUUCACCUUCAAAACUAAAAAACUUUUUAAGAUUCUCCGUCCUAUCAAAUCUUACAGCAUAUGCAUGAAGCAUUAAAUAUAGAUGAAAAUAAAAACUAAUUGUACAGCUUAUCUGUAAAUCGCGAGAUGAAUCUUUUAAGCCUAGUUACUCUAUAAUUGGACAACGUUUCUGAAAUAAAAACGAAAGUGUUACAGUAUCAACAUCCAAAGAAAGUUUGGAACUAAACAAGGUCUAAAUCGAUUCACCUUAAUGAAUUUUGAGCUAAAAAAAUAGAGUAGAGAAGUCCCAAGGACCUAAAAUCCAUUAGAAUCUCCACAUUUGAUUUGAAAAAGGAUGGCCAGCUCAAUGUUUAGUUUCUCUUUGGCAGGGUUCGGUCUUCUAAAAAAAAUAGAGAAGUUAGAAAAGAAAAUCAUGUUCUAAUCUAAUGGCUUCAGUUUCAAACCCAAAACGACUUCAGUUUAAUUCUUUUUUUUUUGCUUAUUUGGUAGUUUUUUUUAAAACUGUUAUUUGAUAGGGUUUUUAAUAAGCCAACGAAAAGCCUAUACAAAAAUAACCAAAGAGAACCCUCACUCUCUCAGCCCGUCGCCCCGGCCAUCUGCCACCCCUAGCCCCUAGGUCCCUAUCCGGCUCGUCGCCCACCAACUGUGGACAGUCCGACGCCGAGUCGCCGACGCGAAAUCGGAAGGACCACCAGCUCAAAAAAGCGCCGCCCGGCACCGAUGUCGCUGCGGCGGAUGCGAUGGAUGUCGGACGAGGACGGGCGGUGGGAGCUGGACGCGGAGACCCCGGUGACGAUGGAGGGCACGGUGCGCCCCGUCCCGGGGGACCCCCUGCCGCUGGGGCUGUCACGGGGCUACCGCGUCACCCGCCCCAAGCAGCUCGACUUCUUCCACCGCUUCAUGGCGUCCCCUCUCGUCCCCACCUUCUCCGCCACCCGCGACGGCCUCUCCGUCAACCACGCCCACAUCCUCUACAUCACGGACAACUGGUAUGGUAACGAACCAGACCCAUUACAUACUUGUACUGCUCUCAGGAUGUUGCGGUUGGGAGGCACUCAUUUUUUUUGCUUGCAAUCUUUUAGCAUCAGGCGCCAACGAUAAUGUAGGCUUGGUGUGCAUAUGUGAUUGAGAUAACCCUGGAUUUGAUACAUAUAUGAAUUUAGAUUGGUUAAUUUUGUAUCAUUAUGUUGGUACUAGGAUUAUGUGCCUCCCUUAUCAAUAUAUGUUAGUAUUGAUGUCUCGGUGGAUGAAAUGUGAGUCGAUUUGAUUAGUACUUGAUUUUAAGUGGCCUGAAAUGGGUUAUCAUUUCUGUCUCUUGUUUGUUAUGUGUAACAUUGUCGGCUCAGAGGGAGAGGAGUAGAGUACUCAGUGGCGGAGGGAAGGGGGGGCUGAGGGGGGCCUGGCACCCCCCAACCUUCCCAUAACUCCCUUAAUACACCCCAUAGAUUAGAUGCUGAAUUGUCUAAUUAACUAAUUAAUAAUAUUAUCUGUACUAAGAUUUUUAUUCUUAUUUCAUAUUAAUCUUUAAUAGUUUCUUAUACAAAUAAAAUCUAGAUCUUUCUAAUAUUUUCUUCAUGUCUUUUAUUUUAUUAUUGCCUAUCAAACAUUAGUUUGUCCCCCACUACAUACUCUAAUUAGCUAGUUAAUUAAAAAUCAGCGUUUUUCUUGUUUAAUCCUUCUGAAUUGAUCCCCAACAAUGGGAUCUAUAUUAUUUAGCAUUAGUCUUCCUAUUAUCUUUCUUAUCUCCUAAGUUUUUGUCAUUAUUUGUCUAAACUCUAAACGGUUAUUUAGCUCGUGUACUCAACUUUUAAACACUAACAGUGGUAUGGUGUUUCUGUUUAACCUUCUAUUUAAAUGACCAUUUUACCCGUUUAAGUGAUCGUCUUGGCUGAGGCUAAACGACAUGCAACUGAUUGUUUGUCAUUCAAUGUUAGGAUCUAGUGCUAAUUAAUUUUGCCCUCGUUUAACUACUUGUUUUAUUGUGAUUCUUUUCCUGGCCAAAGAAAUAGAUUUGAUUAGGUGAAGGUUAGAGGCCUGAGACUAAUUAAUUUAUCUUUAUUUUUUUAGUUUUUCUUCUUCUUUUUUGUAUCGUAACACAAACGUUUAUUUUGCUGCUAUGUACACCUUUGUCAUGUAAUAUUUUGAUACACAUGAUUGUUCUUGGUUUGCACGGCCCCCUCUAUGUUUAAAUUCUAGCUCCGCCCCUGAGAGUACUGUCCAAUUUUUUGUAUUCCUUGGUUAAUUUAAUGGACUAAAUAGCCUGCCCAAUGUAGAUAUUUAGUAGAGGUUAUACUUAAUGUUCAACAAGUUUCUCACCAAACUCAUGUUAACGAACAAUCUGUUGUGCUGUUCAGGUCUUCUAUCAUCUUGGAGAAAAUCAAUGUUAACAAGCUUAUGUCUGUCGUGAAAGAAAAAUUUGCAAAUCGACAGGAAGAGGCCUCUUGGACCAAAGAUUUGAAGAAACACUUGCAUGAUGUUAUGUCUCUAGGUGUAGGCACGGAAAUCUUGAUCACACCAGACACCACUUUGCUGCUGGAGUUAUUUGAUAUCAAGAAAGGCAAUCGAGGAAAAGCGAUAUUUCACCACGAGGCAAAAAAUCUGGACGCUCUUAACCUAUUUGAUAUACAGUUAGUUAUUUGUGGGUAUUCUUGUUGCUUGCACUACGGUUUCUCAAUAAAUCACAUUCCGUUUCAGUAUAUUGAUUAGAGGACAUAGCUGUUGAUAAUGGUUUGUGGAAGUUUUGUCUUGUUUUUUUUUCCUUUCUUUUCUCUUUUGGGAAUCUUUAGUUUACUUAACUAGUUUCUGUUUUUACUGUUCUAAAUGCCUGGAUUAAAGGACACCUCUUUACCUAUUGCAGCUUCCUCAUCAUAAUAUUACAGUCCAAGCAUCUUGGCCUGGAUUAUUUGUUGAUAAAAGGGGAGCAUAUUGGGAUGUGCCAUUGUCAUUAUCAGCUGACCUUUCUUCAGUUGGCUCCAGUUCUGGGUUGAGUUAUCAUCUAUUAUUGCAGCAGAAUAGUGGGGAACCAAAAUGUUUUGGUGGUGAUGAAACAGAUGAUGUUCCUAUUGCUCUGCUACCUGGCCUAUGUGCUAAAGCGGCCAUUUCCAUCAAGAAAAGCAUUGAUGUUUGGAGGAAAAAAGAAGAUAAGCUAAAAAGCGUUCAGCCAUAUGAUAUAUUUCUCUCGGAUUCACAUGUUUCUCUUACUGGUAUCGUUGGUAAGUGUCCACUUUCCAUUUGAUGUUGACACUCCUUUUAAUGAAAAUUCCUUGCAUCCACUUGCUUGGAGGUUCUGUUGCUGGCUUGCUGCCCCUCAAACUGCUUCGGAAAUCUUUUAAUUGACACACCAUUCAUUUACUGGAUAUCCAGAAUGUAACCUGAUCAUAACUUAGUCCUUCUGUUUCCCAUUGCUGAGCUCACUGUAUAAAAAAUCGGGUACCUAACCCUCACCUUGGUGGCACCUAGGUACUACUGUACUAGACGCCUCAAGCCUUGUGUCUAAUAGCUUCCCAGACUUCCUAGGGGUCCAAGUAGCCUGACACUUUGCCACUCAACCAGUGCCUAGGGCCUUCCAAAUUUUUUUUGUGAUAUUACUAGACUUUGGAAGCCAGUAAUAUCCUUCACUUCAUAUAGAUGUUGGGAUACAGUAUCAUGAAUGACUUGAUUUCCCUGUAUGCUUUACUGCCUAGUUUUCCGAUGGUGCUGACAUUUAGUGCUUUUCUUCAUGGAUAUGUGAAAUGGUUAUCCGUUUGCUACUGUAUUGGAUUUAUUGGUAAUCAGCAAUGUUUCUCAAGUUUCCUUCCUUUCCUUUAUUCAGGUGCAGUAGCCAGUGGAUAUUUGGGGAACUGUUCAAGGAGAGUGGCUAUACGAGAUGAAACACAAAAGAGUAAUGCUUUUAGAAUGUUUGACGAAAGGAAUAAAUGUGCUGCCUUUGCUGACCUCUUUGCUUCUGUUACUUUCACUGCUCGAUAUGGGAAUUUUCAGAGGCUUUUUUUGGAUUUGACUAAGGCAAGUGCCCGAUUUGAUAUCACCUCUGGCUCCUUGUUCUUAUGUGGUGCUUCUCGCCUUGCACAAGAUUUCUUCUUCUCUAGAAGACCUGAUGUAGAGACAUUCUGUGAUAUUUGUCCUGAUGUGACUGUUUCCCUUCAACAACAGGUAAUUCAUUUUUUUUUCGUUUCAUUGUUCUCUGAUACCUGUUAACUAGAAACUCUAACCACUGGUUGGGGUAUUGUCUUCUUUCCUAUGGGUACUUUGGUAGCUACUGCUUUCAUCUCGAUCUAUUGUGCUCAAAAGUUAUGAAAAUAACUGAGGUACUUGGGAAUAACCAUGAUAGUUCAGGAAAGUUUCGUUAUAUAUUAAUAAUAUUAAUGACUGCCUUGCAGGAGAGCUUAAUCUUAGUUGAAGUCUAGGCUAUGCUUAGAUAUGCAAACACACUGACUCAUUACCUUCUGUGCCGUAAUGUAAACUAUGGACAAAUUAUGGUUUAUUAAUUACAGUUUGAUGCAAAUCCUAGUGCUUAUGAUGUCAGCCGUGAUUACUCUUGUUGAGGAACAAAUUCCAUCUACUGAAAUGCCAGGGGCUAAACUUGUUAUAAUGAAUACAUCAUUGCCAACAAUGAUGGUAGUAACAGAUGGUAUCAGUUUAGAACAUAGGAGUAGUUAUAUUUUGGCUAUUUCUCUCUGAUUGCCUGCCAUCAAUAGAUUACAAGAAGAAUAGACAAGAUGAUCGUUGUGUGUGAAAGGUAUCAUAUGGAAUUUAUCUCGUCUUAAUAAAGCUCCUCCUUGUUCUUUCUGCAGAUAGUUGGGCCCUUCAGUUUUCGUGUUGAAUCCUCUGUUGCCUUUGACCCCAGAAGCCAGGACCAUUUUGUUCGAGUGGAUGAUCCCAUCUUUGCAAUUGAUUGGGCUCUCAAGGUCCUGGGUUCAGCAAAGGCCACAGCAUGGUAUUCACCCAAGCAUCAAGAGGCCAUGGUGGAGCUCCGGUUCUACGAAACCUGAAGCUGUUUAUCAUGAAUGAUUGAACGUUGUAGAAAAUAAUGCCUGGACUUCAUGAUCGUUAUGAUCGCUGAUUUCACUAGGAUCAGAUCUAUGGAUGGUUGACGCCGUGAUGAUUAGAUGAAUCGACCCCCUUGUUAAAUCUAUUUAUGACCUGCUUUUACCGGUUGAGUCAUCAGUUUUUUUGCUACGAAGGGAGUUAUACUGUUUGGAGUCUUUAGAAUAGUGAACUUGCUAGGUGAACCUAUGUGAGAUUAUAUAUGUUUCUGAUUGCCUUUUAUCGGUGUACAAAAGCCUCAUGUUCCGUCCUUUUUUAUAUUUUUAAAUAUAUGAAGUUUAGGAUAAUCUAAUUAAAGGAUUAGUCUUUUUGAGACAUCCAUUUGUUUUCAUCAUUUUGACAAAACUCAAGACUCGGUUGAAUCAUGCAACACAAAUCCUGAAGCGUUAGCAUUUGUUUGUCAUAGCCCUCAUAGGAGACAGGAGGGAUGAUGCUAUGCAUCACAAAUGCUGAAGCGAAUUUGUAUCCUAAACCUUAUUAGAUGAAUUUUCUAUGUAAGGUGUCCACAUCAUUCCCCACUAAGUAACCUACUAAAUGUUCUAUCUCUUUAUGCAAGGUGUCCACAUCAUUUUCCACUAAGGCCUUGUUUAGAUGCGAAAAGAUUUUGGAUUUCGCUACUGUAGCACUUUCGUUUGUUUGUGGCAAAUAUUAUUCAAUCAUAGACUAACUAGGAUCAAAAGAUUCAUCUCGCGAUUUAUAGUUAAACUGUGCAAUUAGUUUUUAUUUUCGUCUAUAUUUAAUGCUUCAUACAUAAGCCGAAAGAUUCGAUGUGACAGAGAAUCUUGAAAACUUUUUGGUUUUGGGGUAAACUAAACAGGGCCUAAGUACAUGUCAUUCCAUAUUAAUUACAAAAAAUGACCAUGUUAUCUAUAUCAUGUGAAAUAUUUUAAAUCUUUAAUCUAUUAACAUACAAGUCAGUACAUAUACUAUUUGUUUCAUCACCAAUUCCUCUAUAAUGGAACCAAAUAUUAGUUUUUCUUCUAUUAACUUAACAAUUUUUUACUAGAUCUAAUACGAUAAAAUACAUGCAAGUUAAAUUCAUAUAUAUGUAUACAAUAUAAUAUAUUGAAUAUCAUUUAGUAAUGCUAUGUAUAUAAUGAUCUAUUUUUAAAAAAAUUCCGCAGCAACGCGCAGAGAAUUCAUCUAGUUCAUUAUUCUAGUGACCUGCCCUCUAAACUUUAAAAUUGGUGCAACUCAGGGCCAGUUUGGGGUGUUGAGUUCCCCUUUUAUCCCAAAAAAUUAUGAGUAGAACUAAACACCAUGUAAAUUUUGUAAAAUGGUUGUCAUUCUUCAUUUUAGAUUUUGGCUUAGGGGUGUCUAGUUUCCUUUUUAUCCUUAAAAGUUCUGGGUUUUAGUCUUUUUGCAUAAUGGAACUAAACACUAUGCAUUUUUUUGGUAAAAUGUUGUCAUUUGGAUUUUGGCCUCAAAAGGCCAAAAGAAAACAAAAGAGCCUCAAGAGGCCAUAAAUGAGAACAAUAAAUUCUGUAUUUUGGAUGGAACUAAACAUAACCCUAAAAAUUUUAACAUUUUACAUUGCAUCAUUCCAAAGUAGUUUGUAUUUUAUAUUUUGCAUUUCAUGGGGAACUAAACAAGACUAAAAAAACCAAAAGAGCUUCAAGAGGCCAUAAUGAGGGCAAUAAAUUCUACAUUUUGGAUGGAACUAAACAUAUCCCUAAAAAUUUUAGCAUUUUAUAUUUCAUCAUUCCAAAGUAGUUUUCAUUUUGCAUUCCAUAGGGAACUAAACAGGCCCUUAGUUCCCCAUUUGAGCCAAAAAAAAUUGAGUUUUGGCCCAGCAUUUUGCAAAAUAGAAUUAAACAACAACCAGAAAUUUUGACAAAAUGGUUGUCAUUUUGCAUUUUGGAUUUUUGCCUCAAGAGACAAAACAAAACCCAGAAGAGCCUUCAUUACCUUCACCUAACCUGAAAAUUUUGGCAUUUUGGAUGGAAGUAAACAUAACCUUAAAAUUUUUAGCAUUUUACAUUUUAUUAUUCUAAAAUAAUUGGUAUUUUGCAUUUGCAUUCCAUAGGGCCUCAAUUUCUACAUGUAAUGUGCCUCGUUUUAAGCUAAGGGGGUGUUUAGUUCCCCUUUCAUUCAAAAAAUUCUAGGUUUUGGUCUACCAUUUUGCAUAAUGAAACUAAGGGUCUGUUUAGUUCCCUAUUGAGGCCUUGGAUUUUGGCCAAUCAUUCUAUAGAAUUGAACUAAACACCAUCUAAUUUUUUUGACAAAAUAGUUGAUAUUUUGCAUUAUGAAUUUUUGCCUUAAGAGGCAAAAAAAUGCCUAAAAGAGCAGCUUCAUAUAUUUUGGAUUCUGAAAAUUUUGGUAUUUUGGAUGGAACUAAACACACCCAUAAAAAAAUUGGCAUUGUGCAUUUUGUCAUUCCAAAAUACUUGGUAUUUUGUAUUUUUGCAUUCUAUAGGGAACUAAACACAACUUAAACACCAUGCAAAAAUUUUGGCAAAAAAGUGACUAUUCUCCAUUUUGGAUUUUGGCCUCAAGAGACUAAAAAUAGGCCAAAACAUCUGGGAGCCCGUGCUCACCCUCACCAACACCAUGAAGAAUUUGAUAUUUUGAAUAGAACUAAACAUAUCCAUAAAAAUUUGGUAUUUUAUAUUUCAUUAUUUGAAAAACAUUUUAUAUUUUGCAUUUUAUAGGACACUGAACGUUCUCGAGUUGCAGCACUCAAUAGAAAAUCGUAAAAGCGGAAACCCGAGUAGAGUUCAGGCCCACUCGCACUCGCAAGUGAGCCCGCUCGCUUUGCCCCCAGUUGGGCUCCCAGCUCAGUAAACCCUACUGCCCAGCAGCACCCACUCAUCUCGCCGCGCCGCCGCGUAAACCCCGCCCGCACCCAUCUCGCCGUCGCGCCUCCCCGCCCUCGCCCAGGCGCAAACCAUGGCGGCCGCCUCGAGGGGCCUGCUCGCGCGCCUCCGCGGCCUCUCACUCUCUGCCGGCGGGAGCCCGCGCCUCCCCUUCCCGCCUUCCCGGCUCUUCUCCGCGGAGGCCUUCGUCUCCCAUUCCGACGACGACGACGCUGGGGGCGAGGGCGGCGGCGGGGGCCGGAUCAUCGAGGCGCGGGCCGGGGUGAUGGGCCCCACAUCGCGGCGCACCGGCGUGAUCGGCGUCAAGUGCGGGAUGUCGGCGAUGUGGGACAAGUGGGGCGCCAAGGUGCCCAUCACCGUCCUCUGGGUCGACGACAACGUUGUUACCCAGGUCAAGACCGCCGAGAAGGAGGGUUUCUUCGCCCUACAGGUGCUACACGAAAUUUCCCUGAGUUCUCCCUUUGAAACGUGUUCCACCGAAACAAAUGAAGUAUUGAAGGGCUGCUGGUUCGAUUCACUCGCUAGACUUGAAAGCAAUGAUGUCGCUUAAACCUGGAUGGUGAUGGCUGAGAUGUUGUAAAUUAUUGUUUUAGAUCAGUAAUAUCUUGUUGAUUCAGUAUAUCUCAAUACUAUUUCCUACUUUAGAGCGGUGGUAGUUAAUUUUUAAUGGAAAAUGGUAAACUAUCCCACAUUCACUUGUAUUUUGAUUUCCACCUCGUAAGGCGUUUGGUUGCAAAUGCCUAGCCCCUAGUUGACUCUGUUGCAAAUGCCAUCCCACAGAGCAUAUCAGAUUCUGCCUGACUCUGCCCAUGUGGAACCACUAUAGUCCAUGCUAACUGAGUAAAGCUUGUUCUAGUGCUUGGACCAUGUUGUGGUGAAGAAUUUUGCAAAUAGCAUAAACCGUAAAACCGAUGGAUUUAAUGAAAUACAGGUCUUGUAUUUUUAGUGUAUCUAACUUAUAUAAAGAGCAUCAGGCACUCUAGGAUAGAAAAAGCAGGUGAAAUCAGCUGGUUGCAUCUUGGUGGGAUGGUUUUUGCUACAAAACCGACUUGGGUAAUGGUGGGUCUUUGCAACAAAACGUUUUAUGUGGUGGUAUUCCAAACCAAAGAGAGACGUGGUGUUGUUUUUGAAAUUUGCCAUGUUUCUAAACUCAUGCGGCAAUGAUCUGGUUCUGGCUCUUCCCCGCAGUGCCUACAGAAAGAACGAGUUGGGUAAUGGUGGGUCUUUGCAACAAAACGUUUUAUGUGGUGGUAUUCCAAACCAAAGAGAGACGUGGUGUUGUUUUUGAAAUUUGCCAUGUUUCUAAACUCAUGCGGCAAUGAUCUGGUUCUGGCUCUUCCCCGCAGUGCCUACAGAAAGAACUAUAAAAAAAAUAAAGGAAGAUAAUUGGUCUGGUGGUGUUGAAUUUUCUUUUGUUCUUUUGCCAUUUUACUCUCUUCAGCAAAUAUCGGUAUAUGCAAGUUAUCCUAUCAACUUAAUCCUUUAUUUAUCAAUUUACUAGUAAGGAGUUCAUAAGUCAAUUGUGACAAUUUAACUGGAGCAAAGUUUUGGUAACCACUAACCAUAAAGCAUCUCAUGCACUUACACCAUGAAUAAGACACUAGUAAGAAGUAUCCUGCCUUAAUUUUUUGUUUAAAUUGAUCUAAUGCAAUGCAGGGUGUUUAACUUUUUUUUCUUUGUUUGUUACAUCCACCUUUACUUUGCAAAAGAAAAGGUAUUGCUAAAUUCCUAAAUUCUUCUCCUUGUGUUUGUUAGCUUGGCGCAGGUCAAAAGAAGGAAAAACACCUAACAAAGCCUGAAGUUGGCCACUUUAGAGCACAGGGAGUGCCUCUGAAGAGAAAGCUAAGGGAAUUUCCUGUCACUGAGGAUGCGCUUCUUCCUGUUGGCACAACCAUCACAGUUCGCCACUUUUUGCCUGGACAAUUUGUUGAUGUCACUGGAAUCACGAAGGGGAAAGGUUUUGCGGUAUGUAUUUUUCCUGUCCGGUCUAUUUUUGUGCUUUCACUUGUCAAGACAGUUCACUACAUUGCUGUAAACCAACUAGCUAUCGCCAGGGUUUUAGUUUGUGUUUCUUUCGCAACACCUCUGUUUGAUUAGUUGAAAUGAAUCCAGAGGAAAUUAUGCAAGAGAUAUUUGUGAUACUUAAGUUUCUAGUUUAUGCCCUGAAUUUAAGUUGCUCCAUUUCAAACAUUUAUUUGAUUAAAAUUGUUCUCUUGCAAUUUAUAUGUUAGCUUUUCUGAUAAUAAAAGCAAACACUAUGUAUUUCUUACAAUUGGUGGAAUAUUCUAACAGAGUGUAUAGAAUUAAAAACUUAAAAUUUGACUGGUGCCAAUUACAAUUCAGAUCAGUGUUAUAUGAGAUAACAAAGAUGUUAAUGAAAAUUUCCACCUUUUCAAAUAUUAGACUCUGACUGAUUUUUUUUUCUGAGAAUUAAAUACAUUAAUGUCCAAAGUAGUGUGCAUCUUAGAAACUAUAGUUAUCCUUAAUGUUAUUGUGGGAUCAGUGUCUUUUCAGAUCUUGAGUAACUUUUCUAUAAACUCUUAGCACAUAAAAGAGCAGAAUUUGGCUGGACAUGUGAGAGGCAGUGUGAGUGAUCCUAUUUUUGUGCUGCUUUGUUAACUGGUAACAUCCAUCCACAAGGAAAAAGGCUUAUUGAUGUUUGAGAAACUAGGAGGACCAGUAUUUGGUAGAUGGCCAAACCUCUUGAGGACUUCUUUUGCAUGGUAGUGCAAGUUCUCCCAUUAUUUCCAAGAUCCUUGAUUUAUUUUCUUGGGGAAAUGUGCUAGUGUUACAGAACUUGGCAAAACUGGUGAAUUUUUCAUUAAAACAUUGCGAUUACAGAAGUAAUAUGACUCUGCUGAGUGUUAAACUGCUUCCUUCUGUACUCUGUAGAACAAAGUAAUAAUGUCUUUGUUGUCAAUGUUUAACAAUUUAACCUUCUUUUAAUCUUGUAGGGUGUAAUGAAAAAACAUGGUUUCAGUGGGGGGCCUGCAUCACAUGGGGCAUCUUUGUCGCAUCGCAGUGGUGGCUCUACUGGUCAAAGAGAUGCUCCUGGAAGGGUACGUUAUAUGACAGUAUCACAUUUAUGUAUUGAAAAAAAUGUUAUGCAUCUCCCUCUCACAAUAAUGUCAUUUUACUCUCCAUAGGAUAGGCAAUAGUAAGGUUUUGCUAUGAAUUACACUUCCUCUUAAUGAGAUGAAUUAUGGAUUUAAAGUAUUUAGUCACAGGUUUUUUCGUGUUCCUCAGUAGUUAAGAUGAUAAGACCUUAUGUAUUGUUGGUAUGUUCUCAAUGUUUUUUACUUGGGCUGUACUAUGAACAAUGAGUCUGUUGAAUGAUGUCAUCGUACAGUUGCCUUCUGAAGUAUGUUACAUGUUAUUUGUUGGGUUCAGACCUGGGUCUUCACUGGAAAAAAAAUGUAGAUGUAAUGUUUACAUUACAAAACUCGUGAACUUUUUUUGGUCUUGAACACAGCCCAUGGCUUGGAACCACACUGUGAUAUCUGUCAUGCAGGAAGGCACUUGGUUUAAAUUGUUUUGAUAGGAGUGUACUUUUUCCCCCCUUAGACACGCAGGAGAACUGCGUAUUAUUGUAUUGAGUAUUGACAGAUAGAAACAUUCCGAUUACAAGCUGAUUCCAUAGCAGGGGUUAGUUUUUGUUACAUUCACGCCCUUUGGUGGAAUAUGAUAGGAGCUUGCUAAUGUGUGCACAAAGCAGUACUGCAGCAGCCAGCCUUGCACAUGUAAUGAAAUAACAAUUGGAAAAUUUCAGGUUUUCAAAAACAGAAAAAUGCCUGGACGCAUGGGUGGUGUGCAACGCACAGUGAAGAAUGUAUGGGUUUACCAAAUAGACCCAGCCAGGAACUUACUAUAUCUGAAGGGCCAGGUGGCUUGAUUUCUGAUGUCACAACAUAUUUUGUUCAAUCAUAGAAGUUAAGUGUUUUAUGUAUCUUUGCCCCUUUUGCAGGUUCCUGGUCCUCAAGGUAGCUUUGUUUUCGUUAAGGAUUCUAUAUACAAGAAACCUGACACAGCUUUGCUCCCAUUUCCUACAUAUUUCACGCAAGAAGGCGAGCCUGAAGACUUGGAGCCCCUGAUUGCUGAUCUUGGUGAUGUUGAUCCAUUCAUGGCAGCUGAUUAAAAGACAAUGGACAAAGUUGGCGAACUCCCUUAGUGUUUUAUGCACUCCUUGAGCUUGUCUGUUCCACGAGAUUGUGAAAUUCUCGAUGGAUUUGUGAGCAGUUCCUGAAUCACAAGCUUCAUCCGGUUACUGGCCAGCCUGAUCAAUGUUGUUCCAUGUACAUUACCUGGCAAGUAUACCAGGGCCCCAACUCAAUUAGGGUUUUUAGAUUAUUGUUUUGAUUGACUGAGUUGAACACCUUUUUUUUAAUAAAAAUUGUAAGCGAAGCCACAGGUAGUAGUAUAUAAAAUUGGAAUAUUUCACUCCUGAUAGUGAGAUCAGGUGUUUUGCCUUUGCGCGAGCUGCUUAUAUUAUUGCCAGCUGUUCGUUUAUUGUACGUGCACAUGAACUAUGCCUUGCGCUUUUCAAAUUUGAUACUAAAAGCAAGCAUGUUCGUGCGUUGUUAAUAAUAUGUAAUUUUUUUGUACCUUUUUUAUAAAUUUAAAAACAACAAUAUAUGACUAUGACAUUGAUAGUACUUAAUCCAUUUCAAAUUAUAAGACGUGUGAUAUUUUUUAUAUCAGUUUAACCAUUUGUCUUAUUUAAAAGUGCAAAAUAUCGUUUCUUUUAUCGUGGUUUGGUUUAUUAAUAAAAGUUCUUCAAAAAUAACUUUAUGUCUGCACAUAUUUUUUGAAUAAGACGAAAAAUUUGGGAUAAAAAAAGUCAAACGUUUAAUAAUUUGGGAUGGAGAGAGAAUGAGCUAAUGUUGGUAUAUAUAUGAAAUUAAAAUAUAAUCUUGAUAGAUUUUUUUCUCCUAUACGUUACAAAUCACAAUAAUAUUUUCUAAAUCAUAGAAAUAUUUGCUUUAAUUUUCAUGCUAUUCAUGGGUUGGUAUAGUUAGAGUUUGUAAUUUUCUUUGUGGACCGAUAACACAUGUAAUUCUAAAAUAUGAUCAAAUCGGUAGGCUAUUUAGUGCAUUACUCUUGGUCAUUAAUACUCCUAUGGAUUAUAAAUUCAUAAAAUAGUGUCUUUAGUUGAUUACUCUUAUUGCUGGUCAGUUUAGGAUUUAAUUACUUGUAUCAGGCUAAACACAGUUACACAUUCUCUCAUGUGCUUCGUUCAGGGGUGAUUGGUUGCCCCACUCGGAUCGUCCAAAUGCUCAUCCAACACUGUAUCAUCCACUUUGGCCUUGUUUGGUUGCGUGUCUCGCACCAUUUGCCUGCAUCCUUCCAUUCCUUUCCCCUAUCCCGUAUGGAUCCGUCUUCUCGAUUUCUCCUUCCCUCGCGAUACAGGACAACGUGGUGCAGGUAUGGUGCACGGGCCCAUGUGCUAGAGACCAAAACUUUUCAUUCAUGCAUGCAACCAAACACGACAUCGUCUCAUUCUGGACCAACAACAAAUACAACCAAACAUAGCUACGUGCACAGUUUGAGCCUGCCUCCCAUGAUCCUGAAUUGUCCCUUGAUCCUGAAUCGUCAUCCCAAAGACAACCAAUCACACCCUCACUGACCACCUGUAUAGCUCAGUUGAUGUGCAUUCUGGCUCAUGUGAUUCAGUUAUGUGUUCGGAUUCCAGUGACGAGCCUGAUCGCUUGGCAUAAAAGUUGUGACAGAAAAUACUGUUUACUGAUUUGUUGUGAGAAAAACACUGCUAACUGGCUGGCAGAUUCGACAGAUAAGCUCAAACGAGAUUGAUAGCACACACCACAAACUCCUCGAGCUCUUGUUUGUGGCAAGGAUUGACUAUACAAAUUUUUAUCCAUCCAAUGAAGGUAAAAUAUUCUAUUGCAAGUGUUUUUAGAAAACUGGAGUUAUUAGGCGCUUGAACUUAUUAGCACCACUUUUUAACUAUAGAACAAAGUUUUUCUCUCAUAACAAUAAAUCAGCAUUAGCAACAUUCUUUUUUCAGCCAUGGAACAAUGUGGAUCAAUUGCUGGUCAGCUAGAUGGUGUUACCAAAUUACUUUAUUGAAAAUGCUAGUUGAGCUACAGGUUUUAUGCUGCCAAAUUGGGGAGAGUUUUUCUCUCACCACAACAAAUCAGCUUUAGCAACAUUUUUUUUUUUUUGCAGCCAUGGAACAAUGUGGAUCAAUUGCUGGUCAGCUAGAUGGUGUUACCGAAUUGCUUUAUUGAAAAUGCUACAGGUUUUAUGCUGCCAAAUUGGGGCUGGAUCAGCUCAGUCAGUUUAGGCCAUGUUUGAUUAGUGAUCACCACUGCCGUUUCCGUGAGAGCCGAGUACAGAAAUCUCAUCGAGCAUGUGAAGGGAUGGUUAGGUGGGGAAAUACACCAGAUGUUUUUACUGCGUGUUGGAUCUCAUAUUCUCAUCUCCAAGGACGACGGUGUGGUUAGAUGGGAAUGCGAGGACAUAGGGCAGUAACUGCACCACCAAGAGCAGUAAAUUGCUGCAGCAGUACACAUGUCCGUGACUUGAAAGCUUGAUCGUAAUUUACUGACUCUAUUUUUUUCCCCUUCGUCUGAAAUAUCCAGCUGUUUGGUGCUUGUUCGUAGGUGUAGUAUGCAGUGCAUGUGAUGUGCAUUUGCUUGUAGUACUUGUCUAAUACGUAGAGGCAAUGUUAAUAGUAGUGCCGUUUUCAGAGAUUCCGAUCGAAACUCCUAUACUUUCACAGCGAAGGAAUGUUAAUAGUAGGUUCAAAGGUGUAUUCUUGCCAGCUUUUCCAAGCGUCGUCAGUGAGGUUUAAACUUGAUUCUUGUCCCGAAAACAAAACAAGUACGCAGUGACAAAUUAAUAAUGUGAACCGUUCAUAACAAAGACCACAUAAGCCAUAUAUAGCUUAUUACACAACAGUAGAAGCAGCAUGCACAACAGGUUUACCACAACAAUUCAACAAACAUCACAUCACAUGUAGCAUUAUUCAUGCCUCAAGAACAUCACCACCACUACUACAACCAGUCAUCACCAACAGCUAAACACCAUAUGUCUCACAUAGACAGAACUAAUAAUGAAGCAAACAACAAAUGGAACACAUCCAGCUCUCCAAUAAUGCAUGCAGGUAACUAAAAGCAGUACUAGAACACGAGCUAUAGCUAGCUAGAACACAAGAACUGCUCGUAUGUAGCUAGGGGAAACCAAUGCAACCAACCAACCACGCAUGCAUGCACGCACGCACGCACGAUGACGACGACGACGACGACGUACUAUAGUAGCAUCACUCUACUACCACGCCGGCGACUGACGGAGUUCAGGGCUUGUUGGCGUGCUCGGGGACGGAGCCGGCGGUGGGGGAGCCGGGCAUGCCGCCGAAGCCGCUGAACGGGGAGCCGCCGCCGAAGAGGGGCAUGCUGCCGAUGCUGCCGCUGCCGGGCAGGAACCCAGGCAUGCUGCUGCCGCCGCUGCUCCCGGGCAGGCUGAACCCGGGAAUGCUGCUGCCAGGAAUGCUGCUGCCGGUGCCGGGGAGGCCGCCGAACGCCGGGGACGCGCCGCCGCCGAGGCGGUCGAAGGGCGGGAAGGUCUGCGGCUGCACCACCGCGUCGUUGUCCGCCUUCUUCUCCG